rnacentral:rRNA from 1 species
AUUGAACGCUAGCGGGAUGCCUUACACAUGCAAGUCGAACGGAGUGGCGAACGGGUGAGUAAUGUAUCGGAACGUGCCCAGUAGCGGGGGAUAACUACGCGAAAGCGUAGCUAAUACCGCAUACUAUUGGAGCGGCCGAUAUCGGAUUAGCUAGUUGGUGGGGUAACGGCUCACCAAGGCGACGAUCCGUAGCUGGUUUGAGAGGAUGACCAGCCACAUUGGAACGGGGAACCGGCCAAGACUCCGACGGUAGGAAGCAGUGGGGAAUUUUGGAAAAUGGGGGAAGCCCUGAUCCAGCCUUCCCGCGUGUGGGAUGAAGGCCUUCGGGUGGUAAAGCACUUUUGGCAGGAGAGCGGUACCUGCAGAAUAAGCACCGGCUAACUACGUGCCAGCAGCCGCGGUAAUAC